AAAAAGGGCUUCUGCUGUGUUUAGCACAGGAGAGGUGGGGAUUUCCAUCUCUUCUGCGGAAUCGCCAUCAAGAGAUUUCGGAAGCAUAAUUUUUACAACUCGGGGCUGCUAGUGAUCGUUUAUCCUGGCGUCCCA
ensembl:snRNA U11 spliceosomal RNA